AAUGAACGCUGGCGGCACGCUUAACACAUGCAAGUCGACCGAGAUCUUCGGAUCUAGUGGCAGACGGGUGCGUAACGCGUGGGAACCUGCCCUUUAGUAAGGAAUAACUCAGGGAAACUUGUGCUAAUACCUUAUAAUCCCUUCGGGGGAAAGCUUUAUGCGCUAAUGGAUGGGCCCGCGUUAGAUUAGCUUGUUGGUGAGGUAAUGGCUCACCAAGGCUACGAUCUAUAGCUGGUCUGAGAGGAUGAUCAGCCACACUGGGACUGAGACACGGCCCAGACUCCUACGGGAGGCAGCAGUGGGGAAUAUUGGACAAUGGGGGCAACCCUGAUCCAGCGAUGCCGCGUGAGUGAUGAAGGCCCUAGGGUUGUAAAACUCUUUCGCCAGGGAAGAUAAUGACGGUACCUGGUAAAGAAGAUCCGGCUAACUCCGUGCCAGCAGCCGCGGUAAUACGGAGGGAUCUAGCGUUAUUCGGAAUAACUGGGCGUAAAGCGAGCGUAGGCGGAUUUGUAAGUUGGAGGUGAAAUCCCAGGGCUUAACCCUGGAACUGCCUUCAAAACUACAUUUCUUGAGUUUGGUAGAGGAGAGUGGAAUUCCUAGUGUAGAGGUGAAAUUCGUAGAUAUUAGGAGGAACACCAGUGGCGAAGGCGACUCUCUGGGCCAAUACUGACGCUGAGGUUCGAAAGCGUGGGGAGCGAACGGGAUUAGAUACCCUGGUAGUCCACGCAGUAAACGAUGAGUGCUAGAUGUUGGGAACAUUAGUUUUCAGUAUCGCAGCUAACGCGUUAAGCACUCCGCCUGGGAAGUACGGCCGCAAGGCUAAAACUCAAAUGAAUUGACGGGGACCCGCACAAGCGGUGGAUCAUGUGGUUUAAUUCGAAGCAACGCGAAGAACCUUACCGGCUCUUGACAUACCAAUCGCGGAUCUAAGAGAUUAGAUCCUUCACUUCGGGUGGAUUGGAUACAGGUGCUGCAUGGCUGUCGUCAGCUCGUGUCGUGAGAUGUUGGGUUAAGUCCCGCAACGAGCGCAACCCCUACCUUCAAUUGCCAGCACGUUAUGGUGGGAACUUUGAAGGAACUGCCGGUGAUAAGCCGGAGGAAGGUGGGGAUGACGUCAAGUCCUCAUGGCCCUUACGGGCCGGGCUACACACGUGAUACAAUGGUGAUUACAAAGGGCUGCUACAGAGCGAUCUCAAGCAAAUCCUUAAAAGUCAUCUCAGUUCGGAUUGCACUCCGCAACUCGAGUGCAUGAAGUUGGAAUCGCUAGUAAUCGUAGAUCAGCGCGCUACGGUGAAUACGUUCCCGGGUCUUGUACACACCGCCCGUCACACCAUGGGAGUUGGUUUUACCUGAAGCUAGUUCGCUAACCGCAAGGAGGCAGCUAACCACGGUAAGAUUAGCGACUGGGGUGAAGUCGUAACAAGGUAACCGUAGGGGAACCUGCGGUCGGAUCACCUCCUUUCU
rnacentral:rRNA from 1 species